CCUCUCCUCGCCGUGUCUUCAUAUCCAGUCCUUCGCAGGCCAGCUCAGGACCAGUCACCCCGAGCUGCUUUUUCCACCUGACUCUUCUGCGUUCUUAACCUCCUAGGUUUGUAACAGUAGAAAAGUACAAUGUGGACCUGCAUAUCACUGGCCAGUAGAUCUUCAAGAGCCAGCUCCUUCAGGCUCCAAGCAGACCCUGAACUCAAGGACAAGUUGCACUGCUGAUCAUCAGCAGACAAGUUGCACUGUUGAUCAGCACCUGAACCAGGUGGUGCCGAGAAGGAGACAGAGAUGAUGAAAUAAACAUCAGCUUGGUAAUUACUUCUUAAGCCUGAUGAAAAUAGAGUUGACCGGUUGCAGCUGAAAUGUAGUUAAGACUGUGGAUAAUCAUCCUUUAUCUCCUCCUGGUCUCAUAAGCACUGAUGCUUGAGAGGUGUCUGGAAGAUUAUGCAGUGCUCUAAAUUUAUCACAUAUUCAUGUUAAGAAGAGUUUAAUGCAUUUUUCUGUGUAUAAUGUGUAACCAGAAAUAAUUGCAACAGUGAAGAUUUAUUGAAAGAUUAUGUGUCAGGUAUGAUCUUAAAUGCUUUAUGUACAUGGUUUCAUUA
rnacentral:lncRNA from 1 species